AUUGAACGCUGGCGGCAUGCUUUACACAUGCAAGUCGAACGGCAGCACGGGUGCUUGCACCUGGUGGCGAGCGGCGAACGGGUGAGUAAUGCAUCGGAACGUAUCCAAUAAUGGGGGAUAACGCACCGAAAGGUGUGCUAAUACCGCAUACGCCCUGAGGGGGAAAGUGGGGGACCGUAAGGCCUCAUGUUAAUGGAGCGGCCGAUGCCUGAUUAGCUAGUUGGUGAGGUAAAGGCUCACCAAGGCGACGAUCAGUAGCUGGUCUGAGAGGACGACCAGCCACACUGGGACUGAGACACGGCCCAGACUCCUACGGGAGGCAGCAGUGGGGAAUCUUGGACAACGGGCGCAAGCCUGAUCCAGCCAUGCCGCGUGAGUGAAGAAGGCCUUCGGGUUGUAAAGCUCUUUCGCAAGGAAAGAAAACUUAUCCCCUAAUACGGGAUGAGGAUGACGGUACCUUGAUAAGAAGCACCGGCUAACUUCGUGCCAGCCGCCGCGGUAAUAC
rnacentral:rRNA from 1 species